rnacentral:rRNA from 1 species
AGAGUUUGAUUCUGGCUCAGGAUGAACGCUGGCGGCGUGCUUAACACAUGCAAGUCGAGCGAAGCACUUAUCAUUGACUCUUCGGAAGAUUUGAUAUUUGACUGAGCGGCGGACGGGUGAGUAACGCGUGGGUAACCUGCCUCAUACAGGGGAAUAACAGUUAGAAAUGGCUGCUAAUGCCGCAUAAGCGCACAGGACCGCAUGGUCUGGUGUGAAAAACUGAGGUGGUAUGAGAUGGACCCGCGUCUGAUUAGGUAGUUGGUGGGGUAACGGCCUACCAAGCCGACGAUCAGUAGCCGGCCUGAGAGGGUGAACGGCCACAUUGGGACUGAGACACGGCCCAG